UGUGGAUUUUCUCAAAGAGAAGUAAG
rnacentral:piRNA from 1 species